CUAAAUUGGCUACAGCGUUGCGGUCCGGACAGAGCAAAAAAAACAAGGCAUCAGUAUUGUUGAGUAUUAGCUUGUGCCUGGUCCGGGGGCUGAGGUAAUGCAUGGAGACGCAAUGUCACUUACACAAGAUGUUGAUGGCAUUUACUAUAUAAAAACCUUCCUCCUAGAGUAAAGAGUAUCAGCAUUACAACGCGACAGACGGCGGCGGGAUAAGUAAAACAGACAGAAGACAAACAAGAUAAUAAUCUGUUUCCGAUCACUUAAGCCCUGUGGAGUUAGUAAUAUGCGGUUUGCAUAUUCCCCCUUGAGUUCGGUUUGCGGGAGGUGGCUGAGCGCACAGCCGUCGGACCGGCUCCGCACCGGGCGCGGGAGUCCGCAGCGAGACAAAGACGGGAGCUGUCCGCGGUUCUGAACCGGCGCGCUGGGGCGGAGCGCAGGGCUCCUGGGGCCGGCGGCCUCCUCUUCCCCUCUCCCUCAUUGUGACCCCUGCCUCUCUAGGCGUUUAUUUCGCUUUUUUGGGGCCCCGCCUUAAAACCUAUGUCAGAUAGAUAUACGGCGGCUGAUUAAAAACGAUUUCUCCUUUCUCAAAGAAAUGGUGCAGUAGAGGUUUAUUUUAACUGUGUGCUGUAAUAGACACGUGUAGCUCUUUCCACCCCUAAGGAAGUAGGGGUUCGUGUUUAAGAAUAGUAGAAUUAACCCUACCGAAUACCAUUAAUCUGCCCUGUGGUUUAUUCUGAUGAAGAAGGCAGGGGUUUCGUUUUGAAAUUUUUGUUUUGGGCGGUCAAAUCCCUGCCACUUUAACCCCUUCCAUAGAAAAACGCAUAAGAGCUGGGGAGGCUUGGUGAUUCCACCUGAAGGCAAACCAAUGAAAGCCUACUUUGUCCCCUACGAGAAGAAAGAGGGCUUGUGAGAGUCAAAGGCAUGGACAUCAAGUUGACUUAACCCUUGGAGGCAGAAAUGAGGUCUCUGAGGACAACAGUCUUCCAGAUUAUUCAGAGGGAAGUGAUUUCUUUGGAGAGUUUGGGCACAAAAAGGGUUAAGCUGGUGCUUCCUUCUAAAAGUUCUUGGUGUAAUCGAGAUGCCUGGCAUGGUGUACCACGAGCACCAACCCCUCUGCUUGAGUCCGCAUGCUGAACUUGUUAAGUAAGUUCAUGCAGGGGAGGAAGCAAAGCCACACACUUGCACUGUGGGGCCAGCACCCUUUCCUGAACCCAGCACCUUCCAGAGACUCCCCAGCACCCUGACCACCUCUUCAUCUGCUCUUCUCAGUGACACCAAGUCAUCUGGAGAGAAGUCCCAGAGCAUUUGAUGCAAUACGGUUCUCUGGAUCCCAUCUGGAUAUCACAGAGCUAACCCAUCCAUGGAGACAGAAGAACCGAACUCUCAACCCAGAGUGAUUUGCAAUAAAGGGCUGCAUCCUUGGGUUAGAACAAUCCAUGGCACUCUAGUUCCUCCAACUCUGCCUGUUACCUUCCUACUCAUUCAUCCUGAAGUCUUUAAUUAAGACCAAAGUGAUCUUCCCUCCACAUACCCUUCAGCCUCUCAGAAUGUGUUGACCUGGAGUGGUAAAAGAAAAGAAAAAAAUAAAGUCUUUUUUUUUUUUUUGCAAUGACCAUUAUGCAAUUCGAC
ensembl:lncRNA